UUGUGAACUCCAAGCUCAGCCACCUACUCAUUAACGUGGUGGUUUGAAUGAAAAUCGCCCCACAGGGACAGGCACUAUUAGGAGACACAGCUUGGUUAGACUAGGUGUGGCCUUCCCAUAGGAAGUGCGUCACUUGGGGUGGGCUUUGAGGUUUCAGAUGCUCAAGUCAGACCCAAAGGCUCACUCUCUCAUCCUACUGCCUUCAGGUUUGGAUAUGGAACUCUCAGCUCCUCUCCAGCACCGUGUCUCUCCAUUAUGAUGACAAUGGACUAACCUUUGAACUGCCGGCCUCAGGGCAGCACUGGGGGCUCUGUGUCACGCUGGAGGUGUAGCUCCAUGGUCUGAAGAUUGGUAUUGGCUUAUUUCUGAAGUAGAGUCUGGUACAGCAUGGAGAACUGAAGGAGAGAAUGAAAUAAAACAAUAACAAAAACAAUCUGAGGUCAAAGAAAGGGAACCAGAAGUCUCAAGCCUCCAGCAACGUCCUGGCCUCCCGCGGCCAUUUGUUUAUCUCCCCAGCAGCCCCAGGAGUUAAGGAAGCUGGGUUCAACGACUCGCUGAAGGGGUAAACUAGACUCUGCUCUUUCCACUGGAGAUGCCAGGACUAGGGUGGAAUUCACAUGCACUGUUGAGAGAGGAUGUUCAUGUGUCAUAACAAGCAUGAUGAAUUCCAAAGCCUUGUGGGGUCUCGUACCUUUGGCAUUGUGUCCACUUGAUGAGAGGAUCAACAUCCGCCUCACUCACACGGGCUGAUUGGCAAGAAACUUUGACUUUGGUCAAAAAGACUUUUGGUCUGUGAACUAUAAAACCAUGGGUUGUGGCUAAUAAAGACUUUUAAAAAAUA